rnacentral:rRNA from 1 species
CCCUUAGAUGUUCUGGGCUGCACGCGCGCUACACUGAUGCACUCAACGAGUUUACGAGCUUGUCCGAGAGGAUUGGCUAAUCUUUUUAAAAUGCAUCGUGAUGGGGAUAGAUUAUUGCAAUUAUUAAUCUUCAACGAGGAAUUCCUAGUAAGCGCGAGUCAUCAGCUCGUGCUGAUUACGUCCCUGCCCUUUGUACACACCGCCCGUUGGUCCUACCGAUUGAGUGCUCAGGUGAAUAAUUCGGACUGCAGCAGUGUUUGGAUCCCGAACGCUGCAGCGGAAAGUUUAGUGAACCUUAUCACUUAGAGGAAGGAGAANUCGUANCA